GCCCGAUAAGCCUGUGGGAGCGAGAUUAAGGCUUGCUGGUUAUCACGUUAAACGUAGUCAGUCUUUUUCUCUCUCCUAUCGGUACUAACGGUGC
rnacentral:ncRNA from 2 species